rnacentral:misc_RNA from 1 species
UUUCCGUAGGUGAGCCUGCGGGAGGAUCAUUACAGAGUUCAUGCCCUCACGGGUAGAUCUCCCACCCUUGAAUAUUUAUACCUUAGUUGCUUUGGCGGGCCGUGGAAACACCAUGGACUCCGGCUUAUGCGUGCCUGCCAGAGGAAACAAACUCUGUUUUUAGUGAUGUCUGAGUACUAUAUAAUAGUUAAAACUUUCAACAACGGAUCUCUUGGUUCUG